ACUUUAAUUUUGAAAAGAUGUCACAAUUAGCCUCUUAGUUCAGGAAGCAGGAAGUACUAGUUGUACUACAAAAGUUUAGAAAAAUUGUGGUAGCUGUGACAUCCCCAAACAUCAUCUUUCUUUGCAUCUGUUAAAUGCAAUGUCUAAGGACCGAAUAGAAGACACGUCAUCAGCGGACAUUGAUGUAUCCAGCCCAACAUCAAGUGGACCUGAUCCUAAUGUUUGCAGCUGGCAGGAAAGUCAGAACACCUUUUGCGAAUUUUCAUUCUUGCAUCUUCACUUGUCAUUGGUUCUAGCAGGAGCUGAGCACCAACUCUGCCACAAGAACCAACAUCAUUUUGGUUAAAAAAAGUUCAUACAGUAAGAACUUCCAAAUUCCAGUCCAGACUUGAUGCAAAAUCAAUCAUACAUCACUAGAUUUUGGAUCAAAAACAAAAAUGUAUUUACCCAAUUUAACUUUAGUAUGACAGACUAUGCAUCCAUGUUAGAACAUGCCAUGUGUUUUGAUGUAUAAACUGGUAAAAAGGGUGUGUCUGUCCAAAUGUUUAAGCUUAACAUGCAUGUACGGAAUUGGGACUUUUUGUAGUUUGUUAGUUUGAAACAGAGGUUUGAGCCAAUGAAGAGGCAACUCCUCUACUUCACUGUGAUUAGCUGAAAACCCUGUCAGUUAAAAAUCAUGUUUGCAACCAAUUGAAUAAAAUCAGUAGAAACUGGUGGAAAUGGACAGACUAAUAGCAUAGUAAACAACUCACUUAGACAUCAUUACUUUCGGUCAUAUCCAAAUAGAAAUGAAAUGGACAAUCUGUAAGAGAGCUGGUUUUGUAAUUUCUAAGUGAUCAUUUCACUUGUUCAUUUAAAACAAGAAAGAACAUAUGGUACCAUGUAUUUUUACUGCAGUUUAAAUGGUGAAUACAAUCAUUACUAUAUACAGUAUACAAUCAUCAUGCAUGUAGCCUAUAUGAAUACAAUCAUCACUAUGGAGAUACAAUGUUUCAACAGUGAUGAGAUAUAUAUAUAUAUAUAUAUAUAUAUAUAUAUAUAUAUAUAUAUAUAUAUAGGCUAUAACUUUGUUUAAUUAUAUGAGUAAAAAUAUAUGUUACAAUCACAGAAGGGCAGAGACACUGGAUGUAUAAAAGUAAGGUGUUUAUUUUCACAACCAAAUGCAACAACAGCAAGCAGGUGAGUAGAUGGAAAGUCUUCAGUUGAAUAGAGAUAAAUGGAAUGCUAAUACUAUGUAGUUGCAGAUGGAGGAAUGGAAACUGGAGGUAAGAUUCCAACACAGCUUAGAGCUGAGGGACUUCACGAACAUCCAACAAGGUAUUCACAUAGAAGACUGGAGACAAACAGAGUAACAGGAAGGUUUCCCAACAAGGUCCUUGAGAAGAGCAUGGUAAGAUGCUAACGUGUCAACAGGGAGCCAUUAACGAGACCGGACAAUGAUUAUGACUGAGUGAGAGUCCUUUAUACUGCUGGUGACGAGUGCUGAUCAAAUGCAGGUGUGCGUGAUUGAAAUCAGGUGACAGGGUGCACAUUGAGACAAGGUGGAUGAUGGAAGAUGAAGUCCAAACAUGGAAGGGAACUGUGACAUUACCUCCCCCUCCCGGUAGGCGCGACCUCGUGCCGUAGAUGGAACAACCGGGGAGGGGGGUGGGAGAGGAGAGGCUGAAGAUAAACAGGAAACUGGAAGGUAAGGCAGAGAGGAACACCAAGGUGGAACUGAUGGAGGGAGGAGCCAAGGCGGAGUCCUAAACACUCUACUGGGCAGAGCCUGGGUGAUGACUGAUGACAGUGGAGCGAAAUGAUGUACAGACCCAGGUGAAGCCGCAAGGACAACAGCACAGGACGACAUCGCAGGCCUGGAGGACUGAGGUGACGUCGUCUGCUUGAGAGACCGAUGUGGAGGCGGAAGUCUGACAGAACGGGGCGACACCGGAGGGAGCGAGGGCCUCGGUGGAACCAGAGGGAAGGAGGAUCCCGGUGAAGCUGAAGGGGAGGAGGGUUGAGGCGCAGCCGGAGACCCGGAUGUCUGUAGCGAAACCAGAGAGACGAGAGACCAAGGUGAAACUGGAGGAAUGAGGGAGCCCGGUGGAGCUUUAGUGAUGGCGGACAACGGUGACACUGAGGGAGUGCAGAGCCAAGACGGAUUAGCAGGAUCAACAGGUUGAGGUGGAGAACUGGGCCCGGAGGCCUGAGGUGUAGCCAGGGGAUCAGCAUCACAGAGCCACACUGGUGUAGAAAAAGCUCCAGAUGGAGCCGACGAGCUGGCCGGGAUCAGCGGCGAAGGCAGAGUCAAGAAGCUAUGAUACACCAGUGGGGCAGGUAAAUCCAGAGAAUAUGUUGGAGUCAGCAAAGAUGAUGGAGACAAUGGGGUGGGCGGGAAAUUGGGUGGGAUCGCUUCAUCCAAGACAGAGAGUGUUGUAGGGUGUAGAGGAAUGAGCUCUUUGGAGAAAUUUAUUAGUCAGUAUUCCUCACCUGGCUCAUCUGAAAACUGCUUCACUGGACCUGACUCCUCGCUGGAUCUGGUGAAUGGUCCCAGCCUUGGGACGGGUGUGGUGACCUGCUCUGGCUUCAGGGUGGACUCUGUGGCUGGCAUUAACUCUGGGCAUGGAGGGGGCUCAAACUCGUGGUCCGCGGCGGGCACUGGCUCAAGUUCAGACUCUGAAUAAAUCUGUGUUGUUACUCUGGCGUGAUUCGGUUAUGGUCCGGUCUUCUGUUACAAUUCUGUUGCACGUGCAAUACAAUUGACCGAGUUUGAAAGCGGAGACUUUGUUUUUACAUCAAAAGUAACAUGCUCUGUCUUGUCUGUCGGUGUCAGUGUCCUCUUGCUUCAAGAUUGAGAAAAUGUACAGAAUGUGUGGCGUGAGAGUGUGAGAACAGGCAACUGCACGAGUCUCAUGCUGAAUGCCUGAGUUGGCAGCCCUGGUUUAGCUGUUUGGUUUCUCUGUAUUUAUAGCCCUCAGUUUGAGUUGUCAUUUCUCCUUUCUUGUCUAUAUUAAGUUGGUUGUUAUUCUCCUGCACUUUUUCUGCUCCUGAGUGUUUUGUUUUGAUCUUAAUUGUUAAUAAACUAGACUGCUGUGAAUAAAUCUUGCCUAAACUCUGUUGCAACCAGAGCAUGUGACAAUAAGUGCAAAAACAAGUUUAAAUCACUAUAUUUUUAAUCUAAUGUAUAAAUCAUAUACAUUAUAGCAAUGUAUUUCAUUUAAGAGGGUUGUGGCUUGACACAAAGCUCAUUUUUGUAAUUCAUUCUUUUACAAGAACAUCUAAAUGCAGGUUCAAACAGGAAUGCAUUUUUUUGUUUUUCUCAGGUUUAUUCCUGUUCAUGUUUGCUCAAAUUAAAAUGGGUAAAUACAUGUGCUUUAUAACAUUCUAAAUAAAAAAAAAAAAUACCUAACAUAAAUGAUAAUGCAUCAUGUUUUCAAUUUUUAUUACUAUGGUUUAAUGUUUAAAUGAUACUCAAAAUUGACUUUAGAGCAACUUUCAAUUAAAAUCUUACAACAGUUAGGAUUGUCUAGAAUUAGGUCAAUGUUGCUGCUAAGAACCUGUCAUAUCAGCUUUAUAUGUUUUUUGGGACAUGGUAGUUAGUAUUUGAACUGUGCAACUCAACUUUGUUGUAAAUCACUCAAAUGUGUAUUAAAUAUUACGAUUUACUGACACCUUAGUUGAUGAGUUUUCAUAAAAUUUAAAAUUUCUUUGACAUUAAAGUGAUAUAAAAAUCUCUUUCAGGUGUAACACAAUUUGGAUAGUUGAUAAUAUGAGAGUUAUGAUACUUUAUUUAAGAGAUUUAAUUAUUGUAUAACAUGAGUAGCUCUCGGCCACUUUCAUUUUUAAAAAGUAGCUCUCAAAUGAAAAAAGGUUGGAGACCCCUGAUCUUGACUAUGAGAGAAGCUGCAGAGGCAGAAAUCAGUUCAGCAGCUAAGUUAGUCAGAUUGUGAACCGAUGUGUGAAGUAGAGUACCAGGAGAAAGUAUAAAUCUUUUAGUUUAAACUUGCUCAUGUGCAUAUCUUGUAAAUCCUUCUGUUGUAUUUGCUUUAUGUUUGUUCUGAGAAUCAUUUCAUGUUUUUUGUUUGUUGGUUCUAAAAAUCAAAAUCGAAAAAAAAAGUGUGGCAAAAGUUUGUAUCUGUGCAUUAAACCUUGAAGUGUAAAUGCAUCUUCUGGCAACGGGCUGACAACCACACACAAUCUUAGUGGGGUAGUAAGAUUUUGCACAGAAAAGCAUUUCUUGCAUUUUUCAUCAGAAAGUGUUAACAGUGUAUCGUCUUGCUGUAGGGGAUCCAUGCGUCCUGGCCAUGUCUCCAGCUCAGACUCAAGGCCUGCCAAAGUUCAGUCAUCUAACUUCAGGAACACCCAACCAUUCAAUCCAAGACUCAAGAUUUGCCACAGCAUCGCAGGGGAGGAGAAGAUGAGUUUUUCGCCCUGCCCAACCUUUUUGAACCGGAAUACACAGAGGAAGAGACUGCUGCGGCAACACACACCUCUCAAGCAUCGGGCAGAUGAAGAUCUAACGAGAUGUGGUGGUCUCCAUUUAAAUCCCGCCAUUAAAAUCAGUCGCUGAGACAUUACCUUCUAGAAAGAUUUUUGCAUAAAUUACAACUGGGAUUAAGCACAACACUAAAUAUGGAUUACCUGGAGUUUUGUUCUCGUCAGGAGCUGUAUCUUCUGCAGGCACUAUCCAAUCAUGUAGAAGUACCCCCUGCUAUCACCCAGGCUUUGCAAGAGCUUUUUGACCUCGUGAAGGGACAAAUUGAACUUCCAGCUCCUUCUGUCACAGUAGAAGCUGCUGGCACCACAGGACGACCCAAAAUGUUAAUUGAAGAACAGCGCUUGAAAGAAAUGCUCCAUACUUAACUUCAUGUGCCUUACACUGAUGGGUGUUUCGAGAAGCACAGUCUUCAGACGAAUGAAAGAGUAUGAUCUCUCUGUUAGGAGCAUGUACAGUACCAUCAGUGAUGAUGAACUUGACAGUUUGCUUCCAUCAAGAAUGAUUUACCAAAUGCAGGCUACAGGAUGGUCAGAGGGAGGCUGGAGUCAAUGGGCCACAGGGUUCAGUGGAGAAGAGUUGCAGCCUCCAUCCAUGGGUUGAUUUCUUGGGUGUCAUCUCAAGGCUGUCAGGUUUUGUCUGUGUUGUACGCAGAGUGUACUCUGUACCAGGGCCCUUGUCUUUGGUACAUGUAGACACACACCACAAGUUAAUCAGGUUUUUAAUUUAGUGGCUUCCUUUUGCUUUGUCAGGGAGUGCAUUUGAAAAGUAGCCAAUUGAGCCAUUUUCAGAAAUACCAACAGCAAUACUAUAGAAGCCCCCCUGACUGUGUUUGCAUUGUCUCUUGUUUUAACAGAUAUUCAGGACGUGUCAUAUCAGUAAUAGUUGAAAUAAACAAUAAUUGCAUAUGUCCAUAUUAUUAUUUAUUAUUAUUAUUAUUAUUAUUAUAAAUAUUAAAGAUAAAAAUUUAAUAUAUAAAAAGCAUAAGAAAAAAAGGAAAAAUAUAAAAAAAAGUCUCCCUUUGUAAUGUCCUUAAAUGCAUAUGCACAUUGAUUUAAUUUGAUAAUUACUCUGCUAUGUCAUGUUUAUGACAGGUUAUGAUGUAUUGGUUUAUGUCAAGUUGUCAUAACUCGGACAUCUCAAACAAUGUCAUCUUUGCAUUAAAAAUGACAUAAUUGAGCGAAUGGCACUUAAUGACAGUUGUCAUAAACAUGCAUAAAACCUCCUUCAUAUUCAUGACACGUGUCAUGUCAGUCUUAUGCACACCCCUUCAAGUAAAGUGUUACCGACUUAACUUUAAUUCCUUUUAAUUGGUUUAAAUUUUACUUAAUGUUGUAAAUAGUGUACUUGAAUACAGCCACAAAUAACCGUGCUUCAAGUUCGGCGUUUCACUUUUUCCUGGAGGCAAUUCAGCAGCAUGGUUUACUCUCAAGGUGUAUUUGGUAUUUGAGAUUGUUACAAAGCUACAGUGCCCUACUUGUAGGUAAAUAGACUGGGACAAAUCCAAAUGUUCUUUAUCAUCUUACAUUUAAAAAAUAGAUAAAUCUGAGCUUUUACUUGAGCAAAUCAAAAUUUUAUCAAGAAAUAAUUAUUCUGCUCAAAAUAUUUUUAAUCAUCCUUGCUUGUUGAAGUGAUCUUUAAAAGUUAAAGGCCAUUAUUAAAAUCAAAAAUCUAUUUCUGUUAAUUUAACUAUAACUAUUAUGAUUUCAGGGAAAGAGCUGACCAUUUAUGUUUACUUUUCAUCUCUGGAAAAAGCGUGCACAACCAAAGAACAAGAGGAAAUAUUGUCCAUUAAAAAAAACAAACAACAACAAAAAAAAAAAAAACAUUGUUCUUGGUAUGUAUAUGUACUUGGUAUUUAUAAUAAUUCUUUAAACCCACAAUGCACUGUGAUCCAGAAACAAUGUUUUACAUUGAUAUUCCGUUCGAACUUCCAUUAUAACAUCAACCUUCUACACUCUCUUGAAGAGAACAAGCUUCUGGACAUUUCAUACAGAUGACAUAUUCUGUGCAUUAGGCAAUUCUUCUAUGACUCAAAAGAGACUUGGAGAUAUUCACUGAAGGCUGGAACCAUCCACUCCGCACUGAAGGAAACCGGAGUCUGACACAGAUCUGGGAGAUUGCACAUGCUAAACAAUUUCUUUCACUGCUAAAAACGAUGGAACCACAAUGGCUGGAAGUAAAUGGCUGGAACCACAGCUGCCAGUAUUUUACUGUAAAUUUACAGGUACAUUUUUUGUGUGAUGUGGACAAACUCCUCAAGCUGGACCCAACACAAAGACAUGAUGUUGAGGCAGAAUGAAUCUCUCACUGAAUUUGAUUUUGCAGCUGGACUAUACAGAAUGCAAGUGCUGAAUAUAUAGACAUUCACAAUAUUCAGUACAAUAUACUUGCAGUGCAUUCAGUAUACAAUUUAUUCACCUUAAGUUGUGAUUACUAUACUAUUUUUUGUUUUUUUUGUGUGUUUUUACAUAUUUGCAAAAAACAUUUGUUGUGUUACAAUAUACAAUAACUGGAAGUGACCAAAAAAGAUUUGUGUACUGACACAACCUAUCUGGAUGGGUUACAUUGGUAAUGACAUAGGCGUAUUACAGAAAGUUACGGCUUUCAAAACGGAGGUGCAUCAUCUCGCUCUCCAAAAAGUGCCCUGUCAAGUCAGGUGCAGAGGUGCAAAAGGUGCAGAACUCCCCGUAGCACAUGAAAAAAAAAAAAAAAAACAAGACACGGAGGAGAAUGGUACAUACAUUUAUGAAUAUUUACAGCAUUUCCGUCACCAGUUUUGACAUAGGAGUGACGCAAAAGACAAUUAGAAAUCUUUUGAAAUCUGAAAAGUUUUCAGUAGCCAGAGAGUCCAUACUAAGACACGUCUGUAUAAAUCUGACUGGAAUCACAUUUCAAACCUAUGGAAGCCUAUUUCUGCCACUAAAUAAAAAAUAAAAAUAAAAACAGUA